GCCGGGUGUGGUGGUGGGCGCCUAUAAUCCCAGCUACUUGGGAGGCUGAGGCAGAGAAUUGCUUGAACCCAGGAGGCAGAGGUUGCAGUGAGCCAAGAUUGUGCCACUGAACUCCAGCCUGGGUGACAGAGCGAGACUCUGUCUCAA
rnacentral:SRP_RNA from 1 species